rnacentral:rRNA from 1 species
UACUGAGUGGCGAACGGGUGAGUAUAAUGUAGGUAUCUGCCUUUUGGUUUGGAAUAACACGAGGAAACUUGUGCUAAUACCGGAUAAGCCUUCACAGGGAAAGUUUUAACGCCAAAAGAUGAGCCUGCACUUGAUUAGCUAGUUGGUAAGGUAAUGGCUUACCAAGGCUACGAUCAAUAGCUGUUCUUAGAGGAAGAUCAGCCACAUUGGGACUGAGACACGGCCCAAACUCCUACGGGAGGCAGCAGUGGGGAAUCUUGCACAAUGGGGGAAACCCUGAUGCAGCGAUGCCGCGUGAGUGAAGAAGGCCUUUGGGUUGUAAAGCUCUUUCGUCGGGGAAGAAAAUGACUGUACCCGAAUAAGAAGGUCCGGCUAACUUCGUGCCAGCAGCCGCGGUAAUACGAAGGGACCUAGCGUAGUUCGGAAUUACUGGGCUUAAAGAGCACGUAGGUGGUUAAAAAAGUUGGUGGUGAAAUCCCAAGGCUUAACCUUGGAACUGCCACCAAAACUUUUUAGCUAGAGUAUGAUUGAGGUAAGCGGAAUUUCUAGUGUAGAGGUGAAAUUCGUAGAUAUUAGAAAGAACACCAAUUGCGAAGGCAGCUUUCUGGAUCAUUACUGACACUGAGGUGCGAAAGCAUGGGUAGCGAAGAGGAUUAGAUACCCUCGUAGUCCAUGCCGUAAACGAUGUGUGCUAGACGUUGGGAAUUUAUUUCUCAGUGUCGCAGCAAAAGUGUUAAGCACACCGCCUGGGGGAGUACGA